rnacentral:tRNA from 1 species
CAGAAAAUAGUUAAUAUAAAAUAGUAGGUUUGGGACUUACAGAAGAGCCUAUCUUUUCUGA